UAAUAGCGUAUAUUAAAGUUGUUGCAGUUAAAAAGCUCGUAGUCGGAUGUCGGGCUCGGGCAGGCUGUCGGCUUCGGUCGGACGGCAGGCUCGGGUCUUUCUGCCUGAGGAUCCAUCUCAUUCACUUGGGGUGGGGACGCAGGCCGUUUACUUUGAAAAAAUUAGAGUGUUCAAAGCAGGCCUACGCUUGAAUACAUUAGCAUGGAAUAAUGGAAUAGGACUUUGGUGCUAUUUUGUUGGUUUAUGGGACCGAAGUAAUGAUUAACAGGGACAGUUGGGGCCGUUUAUAUUUCGUUGUCAGAGGUGAAAUUCUUGGUUUUACGAAAGAUAAACUUCUGCGAAAGCAUUCGGCAAGGAUGUUUUCAUUGA
rnacentral:rRNA from 1 species